AAGUGAAACAAUGCUAAGUAAAAAACAAUUUUUCUAACAUAUUAUAUAAUCCAAAGAAAGACUGAUGUACAGAAACCAAUUGUCAUAUGUAAUUAACAGAAUUAGACCUUAAGGGCAAUGUUUGUGAAAUAAGAAGGUAAUAAUUAUAAGAUAAAAUGUAAAUAUUGGUUCUAUUAUUGACUAUAAUUUUGAAAUGUAUAAUUUUAAUAUUUUCAUUAACCAUUCCACUGAAUUAAUCUAAUGUAUUCAAUUAAAUUUACAUAAUAUCGAGAUAUUAUUAAUUAUGAGAUAUCUAAUAGAUCCCACGAAUGGUAGAAAAUAUUUAAUAAAAAUAUGAAAUCUAUAGGUUUUCUUCUCACACUAUUAUUUCUCAGCAAAAUCAUCACCUUUCCUUUUUAGGCUCUCAGAUAAAAAUACUAGGCCUUGGAUGUUGUUUGCACAGAAGUAGUCUGAUUUGGGUCAGUACUGUCCCUAGGAGGAUGGAGGGAACCCACCAAACUGUGGAGAUACCUGGAGACCCCAAAAUGAGGUAGGCAGCACCAUAUAAUCAAUGCUUUUAUGGAGUCCUUAUUUAGCAGUCAGUUCACAUUUUCCCAAGGUUGUGGUUAUCUUUUUAGCUUUAGUUAUAUUUAUAUUACAAGAACUAAGGAUCACCAUUGUAUCUAUGUUCUUUAUCUUUCAGCAUCUUGUGGUCUUCAUUCAGAUUCAUUUAUUAUUUGAUUAAAAUAACCUCUCUUAUGGUUUUCAUUUGAAUUACAUAAGGGAUUUUUAACUCCAAACUAUUUAUGUAUCUUUGCUUUCUGAAGGAUGAAUAAUACUUUUAUUGGUAUGGUUAUAAACAUAAGAACGUAGGAUCACCCUGCUCUCAGAAUACCCUGAACUUUUCCACAAAUGUCAAUGCUAAAAGCUAUACUCUAUUGCUAUUUUAACUUUAAGUAACUAUCAUAAAAUGUUAAAAUGAGAUUAGAAGAUGAACUGAUUGCAGUCUAAUGUUUGUCUGGAAAAUCAUGACAAGUGGCAAAAAAAAAGCCACAGAUUAUACACACAUCUGAAUGCUGAGGUCUGGAGUAGGAAGAAGAAAAAUAAAGUCUGUUGGAAUUAUAAUAGGCAUUCUCUUUUUGGUUUGGUUUAAUAAGUUGGGAAAAAACCCUCCAACUCCAAAUAGUACACAACCACCAUUCAAUAAUACUUUGGGGAGUUCCUGGUGUGGCACAACAGGAUCUGCAGUAUCUUGAGAGCACUGGGAUGCAGUUUGAUCCCUGGCCAGGCACAGUAGGUUAAGGAUCCAGCAUUGCUGCAGCUGUGGCUUAGGUUGCAACCGUGCUCAGAUUUAACCCCUAGCCCAAGAACUCUGUAUUCUUUGGGACAGCCAAAAAAGAAAAGGAAAAAAAAAAAACAAAAAAAAACUUCAGGAAAUGGGUUGAAUGUAAAUUCAAUCUUAUAUUUUCUAGGACCAAUUUAAGUUUUAAAUUAUAUCUAAACAUGAUAGAGAAAGUUCAAUUCAGAUUUAUAUAUUCAGGUCAGUAAGCACAUGGUAUGACUUGAUAUGACUUUUUGUUUUUUAAAUUCAAGUAGUAUGUUUGUGUGUGUGUGUGUGAAUGUACCUAAUAAUCUCAAUUAAUACUCAUGUCUGGGCCAGAUUCAAUGUACAUUAUAACAUCUGGGAGUUCCCUUCAUGGCUUUGCAGUUAAUGAACCUGACUAGGAUCCACGAGGAUGUGGGUUCAAUCCCUGGCCUAGCUCAGUGGGUUAAGGAUCCUGAGUUGCUGUGACUGUGCUUGCAGCAAUGCUGGAUCCUUAACCCACUGAGCAAGGCCAGGGAUCUAACACAUAUCCUCAUGAAUACUAGACAGGUUCAUUAUGGCUGAGCCACAAUGGGAACUCCUAUGUAUUAGGUCUUAACACAUUUUUUUUUUUAUCUCCAAUUUUCAGUCUUUGGCCUGAAGCUAUGCAGUAAGAAUUUUUUUUCCCUUUUGUUAGAUAAUUUUUCUUAUAAAGAAUAAAUCUGUUAGAAUAAAUCUUUUAAAACACUGACAUGUCAGCCUGUGUGUUUUCACUGUUGAAGCAAAUUUAUUUUCUGGUUCAUUUAAUGAUAAUCAAAUUACAGACAGAAAAAGUGAAAGGCAAGUUACUCAAUCUACCAUGAUCAGGAAGGCUGCCACAGUUCUGACCUGAGGAUAAAAAUUACUUCUGUUGAAGUGAUUUUUUAAAGGUACUCCUCCUUUUUAUAGUUGAAACUAUAUUUACACAAAAAUAAAAUCCCCCCAAUCUUGAUCUCUGCAUGAAUAAAAUAAUUAGAAAAUUUACACAAAUCAUUAAAAGAGUUAAAUGUGGUGUUUGAGACUUUCUAAACAACAAGUGAACAUUCAUUUUUCAACUAAAUGGAGUCUAGUAUACAUGUAAUCAAUGUUAUUCUCUAACUGUGGCUAACUACCAAUUCUGUUUACCUGAAUAAAAACUAGAAAUCUGCUGCACGUGUGAUAUGGAUGACAUAGAAAUUUUGAAAAAUCCAAAUCUAUGCUAUUUGUGUGUCUUUCAGUUAUCAGGAUGGGAAAACUAUUAUUCUAAUAAAUUUGAAGAUAUAUUAUUCAUGCUUCCCCUAACCAAAUUUAUUUGUUUUGUUAAUUUCCAUCCACAUUUUCAAUUUAGUUUAGGUAUCUCUUAUGCUCAUUAUCUUUAUUGUUUUACAUUAUAUUAUAGUGUUUUACCAGCCUCUUCCUUUGUGGCUUUAAGUUUUCCUCCUCUUCCUCAUCAUCCUAAUGAUUAUCAUUUAUGGAAAAAGAAGUAGUUUAUGUAGAAAACAUGGUUUUCUAAGAUCCUUGGAGUAGACAUCAAAAGACAUCACUUCUAGUCCAGUACACACUCUUGAGUAAUGUAUACCAUGGGUGAAGAGGAAAAGCUUCAAAUGCAACUUAUAAAAAUUCCUGCCCUACUUUACUCACUGUGUACUAAUUGUAUCUGAUAAUAGUAACCUGUUACUUGCCUUUCACAAUUGCUUUCCAUUUGGUAAUUUAUGUCUUUUGUAAGACAUAUCUACCUUUGAGAUGCUUUUUUACAUGUGUACUAUUUUAAUAUGUUUACAUCGGACAAUUAUUGCUUUAUUUUACUUGAGCUAUUUAAUAAUCAACAAUAAAUCCUGCUAUAUAUAAAUGAGAACGCUUCUUAGCUAUAAAAGACAAUAAUAGCUGGAAUGUUAAAUAAAACAAGAGGGUUCUUGCUGAAUGAUUUGAAUCAAUAGUAAUAAUCAAAAGAGAAAAUUUGCGACAAGAAGCUUCAAAAUGUGGCCUGAAAUAAUACUUAUAUAUAAAUGAGAUUAAAUGAUUAAAAAACACUCAAUGUGAAAUGUAUAAAUGUAAAAAGGAAUUUAUAGCCCAUGAUAUUUUUUGAAUUGGAAUUUUUUUCUUCUUAAAUUUGUGAUGUGUUGAAAAUCCUUCAACUCAAAUUAAAACUACUGUAAUAUAUACGGUAGGAAAAUUUCUUUGAAGGCAAACCUCUGAGUUAAUGAGUGAAAGGGAGAGACGGAUGUUUUAAGUUGCUUUUUGUGGUUGUACCACUUUAUUUUCAAUUCUCUUCCCUGGAUGGAAGGGUAGGUGGAGAGGUCAACAUUAGCAGAUCUGGUUGAUCAAUUUUAGUGAUGGCACUGAACUCCCCUUAUAAACAACGGAGUAUCGUCUCACUCCCCCUCCCCUUCAGGUCAUCUAUUCUUCUCUCCUG
rnacentral:lncRNA from 1 species